rnacentral:rRNA from 1 species
CGGUAACAGGUCUUCGGAUGCUGACGAGUGGCGAACGGGUGAGUAAUACAUCGGAACGUGCCCGAGAGUGGGGGAUAACGAGGCGAAAGCUUUGCUAAUACCGCAUACGUCCUACGGGAGAAAGCAGGGGACCUUCGGGCCUUGCGCUAUCAGAUGAGCCUAGGUCGGAUUAGCUAGUUGGUGAGGUAAUGGCUCACCAAGGCGACGAUCCGUAACUGGUCUGAGAGGAUGAUCAGUCACACUGGAACUGAGACACGGUCCAGACUCCUACGGGAGGCAGCAGUGGGGAAUAUUGGACAAUGGGCGAAAGCCUGAUCCAGCCAUGCCGCGUGUGUGAAGAAGGUCUUCGGAUUGUAAAGCACUUUAAGUUGGGAGGAAGGGCAUUAACCUAAUACGUUAGUGUUUUGACGUUACCGACAGAAUAAGCACCGGCUAACUCUGUGCCAGCAGCCGCGGUAAUACAGAGGGUGCAAGCGUUAAUCGGAAUUACUGGGCGUAAAGCGCGCGUAGGUGGUUUGUUAAGUUGGAUGUGAAAGCCCCGGGCUCAACCUGGGAACUGCAUCCAAAACUGGCAAGCUAGAGUACGGUAGAGGGUGGUGGAAUUUCCUGUGUAGCGGUGAAAUGCGUAGAUAUAGGAAGGAACACCAGUGGCGAAGGCGACCACCUGGACUGAUACUGACACUGAGGUGCGAAAGCGUGGGGAGCAAACAGGAUUAGAUACCCUGGUAGUCCACGCCGUAAACGAUGUCAACUAGCCGUUGGAAUCCUUGAGAUUUUAGUGGCGCAGCUAACGCAUUAAGUUGACCGCCUGGGGAGUACGGCCGCAAGGUUAAAACUC